UACGUAGGGGGCUAGCGUUGUCCGGAUUUAUUGGGCGUAAAGAGCGUGUAGGCGGCCAGGUAGGUCUGGUGUGAAAACUCGAGGCUUAACCUUGAGAUGUCAUCGGAAACCAUUUGGCUAGAGUCCGGAAGAGGAAAGUGGAAUUCCGCGUGUAGUGGUGAAAUGCGUAGAGAUGCGGAGGAACACCAGUGGCGAAAGCGGCUUCCUGGACCAGUACCGGACGUUCAGGCACGAAAGCGUGGGGAGCAAACAGG
rnacentral:rRNA from 1 species